UCAGGCCUAACACAUGCAAGUCGAACGCGAACGCAUCUUCGGGUGUUAGUAGAGUGGCGGACGGGUGAGUAACGCGUGGGAAUAUGCCCUUCAGUGCGGGACAACCAUUGGAAACGAUGGCUAAUACCGCAUACGCCCCCUUUUAGUAGAUAUUAGGGGGGAAAGAUUUAUCGCUGAAGGAUUAGCCCGCGUUAGAUUAGCUAGUUGGUGAGGUAAAGGCUCACCAAGGCGACGAUCUAUAGCUGGUUUGAGAGGAUGAUCAGCCACACUGGGACUGAGACACGGCCCAGACUCCUACGGGAGGCAGCAGUGGGGAAUAUUGGACAAUGGGCGCAAGCCUGAUCCAGCCAUGCCGCGUGAGGGAUGAAGGCCUUAGGGUUGUAAAGCUCUUUCAGCUGUGAAGAUAAUGACGGUAACAGCAGAAGAAGCCCCGGCUAACUCCGUGCCAGCAGCCGCGGUAAUACGGAGGGGGCUAGCGUUGUUCGGAAUUACUGGGCGUAAAGCGCGCGUAGGCGGCUUAGCAAGUUGGGGGUGAAAGCCCGGGGCUCAACCUCGGAACUGCCCUCAAAACUGCUAAGCUCGAAUCCUGGAGAGGUGAGUGGAAUUCCUAGUGUAGAGGUGAAAUUCGUAGAUAUUAGGAAGAACACCAGUGGCGAAGGCGGCUCACUGGACAGGUAUUGACGCUGAGGUGCGAAAGCGU
rnacentral:rRNA from 1 species